AAAAUGCAAUUUGCAGUGGUUAGAAAUGACAAAGGAUGGGUGGUAGGAUCCAGAGAAAAAAACAGUGAAACCCGAUGGACCUUAAAUAGAUCUGAGGGCACUGAUUUGAUUAUUUUGGGUGAAAUCUUUUAAGAAAAUCUUGUCAGAUUCUUCACAGAAAAUUUGGUAAAGCCUAUAUUUCAUCGCCGGUCUAGCAAAGGCAAGCUGGCAAACAGGGAAACAAGGAGAACUGUGUGCUCAGCCCUCCAGAGUGGCACGGAUUAUGAGGAGGUGAUGGUCCUUCCCUGCCAAGAUCCUGAGACACUGUCACUCCAGAAUCCAAAAAGAGAUUCAGAUACCAUGAAAGGAUUUGAGGGUUUUUUAAUGUGAAUCCAAAGAUGACAUUUACAAAAGGUGGAGAAGCAGUUCCCUACUGAGGGACAUGGAUACAAAAAGCAGAUGACACAACACAUCCCAUAGAGUUCCCAGGGAAGAAUGAACCCAGAUUCUUGACCUGCAGAGAUGGCGUACUGGCUGGAGAAAUCUCUGGCUGGCGACCGUGCUAUUCUGUCUGUCCACCUAACUGUGGGCUCCCAGAUCACCACUGCCAUGGGCAGGGGGCCGUGGGGUGGGCCUGCUUGGGGUGACAGGCUAGCUGUGCUCUCAUAGCAGAGGUGGGAGAAGGGAAUCACAUCUGGUGAGCAGCUAUGUCGUGCCAGGCACUGUGCUGUGUAUUGCACACAUCUCAAACCUUGUGACAAAUGUGUAAGAUAUUUUUUAUGUAUUACAA
rnacentral:antisense_RNA from 1 species